CCUGAUGCAGCGACGCCGCGUGAGGGAUGACGGCCUUCGGGUUGUAAACCUCUUUCAGCACGGAAGAAGCGAAAGUGACGGUACGUGCAGAAGAAGCGCCGGCUAACUACGUGCCAGCAGCCGCGGUAAUACGUAGGGCGCAAGCGUUGUCCGGAAUUAUUGGGCGUAAAGAGCUCGUAGGCGGUUUGUCGCGUCUGCUGUGAAAGCCCGGGGCUUAACCCCGGGUGUGCAGUGGGUACGGGCAGACUUGAGUGCAGUAGGGGAGACUGGAAUUCCUGGUGUAGCGGUGAAAUGCGCAGAUAUCAGGAGGAACACCGAUGGCGAAGGCAGGUCUCUGGGCUGUUACUGACGCUGAGGAGC
rnacentral:rRNA from 1 species